rnacentral:lncRNA from 1 species
AAGACAGAAAAGGCAGUAAGAGACAGAAGCAAUAGAUAGAGCUUAAAAUGGUAAAGCUCACGAUCGCUUACUCAGGAUUCAAUAUGAUUCACUGAUUUCUACAGAAGGGACAUGGAAAGUCAAAGCUCUGCAGUUAAGAAGAAAAAUACACCACUGAAACUUUCAGAUGCCUUGAGACAAGAUUCUUCUUCCAGAAUUCUAGUAUCAUUCCAAGGCUGGACUCUUCAGAAGUGAUUGCCUGCAAAUUUAGGAUGAGAACAAAAUCACAGUUCAAGGUUAGUAUUUUUGAAGGAUAAAGAAAAGCAAAACAUUAAAAUAUCUCCAACUAAUGAACUAUUGUCUGUUUUAGUAUACUUUCAUGUUUUUUUUAAAAAAGAGAAGUAAAAAGAAAAAUGAAAUCAUUUUUAUUAUAUGAUAUUCAAGGUCAAACGAAGCCACAAGAGUUCAUAUAGGGAAAGGUACCACAUGUGGCAUAUUAUGUCUUUUUAUAUUUUGCUGCCUAUCACAGUCUUCUAAAGCUAAACUUUAAAGUUCUCAUGUCAUAAAUUCUUUUUGCAAAUUGUUGAAUUAUGUAUUGUGUACAUAACACAGUGCUGAUCAGUAUGGGCAAUUUAGAGAUGGGUAAAAUGCUAUCCUUGCAAACAAAAGGUUUAUAAUCUAUUUGGUGAAAAAUAUAAUUAGCAUAACAAAAAAUCAAAAUAAUUCAAUGCUAUUUGAGAUUGACCAGGGUUGUUGGGGGAAGGAUGAAUAGGUACAGCACAGUGAAUUUUUAGAGUAUUGAAAAUACUCUGUGUGAUACUAUGGAUACACGUCAUUAUACAUUUGUCUAAACCAACAGAGUGUACAACACCAAGAGUGAACCCUAAUGUAAACAAUGGACUUUGGGUAAUUAUGAUGUGCCAAUGUAGAUUUAUCAGUGAUAACAAAUGCACCAGUUUGGUGGGAGAUGUUAAUGAUGGGAGAUGCUACAUAUAUGUGGGGGCAAGAGGCAUGUGGAAAAUCUCUGUACCUUCUCAAUUCAGUGGUGAACCUAAAACUGCUCCAAAAAGUAAAGUCUGAAGAAAAGGAAGAUAUUAUGAAUACAUGCCUAUUUGCUUGAUAUGGGGUAUGUAUGUAUGUGGAAGUAGGCUGUACACCCUUUUUACUUUUUGAGUUUUAUACUAUAUAAAUUUAUUAGUAAAACUAAAACAUACCAGGAAAGGAAGAGGAAAGGAAAAAAAGGAAAAAAUAAAUAAAAAUAAAUUUUAAAAUGCGACUUCAAAGAUCAGCUUUAUUAAUAAACUCAAUCCUCCAUGCUGGAAUAAGCCACACCAUCUGAUGGCACACAAUGCAUGGCGUCUGUUUUCUUUGUGUUUCUCUUGAGUUUGUUUGAAUGCUUUGUUUUAAAAUUCCAGUCUUCACUUGACUGUGUUGCCAGAAUUAAGGGAAGUAUUGAAAAAUCUAUCCUCAGCCCACAAUAUUAAAAGGAGAGGAUUCCUUUGACAUCCCCACACUGUUGGCUGUAUCUGUAGGAGACACUUGAGAGAAAGGUGAAUGAAUGAACGAAGACCAGACCUGAGAACGCUCCAAUCCAUGUUUACACCCUCCAGUGGAACUUUCCUCAUCUUGAGGAAGCUGUAUUCGCUUUUAAUGAAGCAACUACAGAUAUUUCUGUUUUUAGAAAAAUGCCUAGUGUGAGUACAGAGGAAGAAGUGAUUACUUGUAAUUGAAGAGUAGAGUAAGGAAGGCUUUUUAAGGGAUUCAAAGUUUGAUCUCAGGCUUGAAGAAUUUCCACAGUGAGGAUGGUGAGGAUGUGGGAAGGACAGUCCAGGCUGAGGUGGCAGCACCAGCUAAGGCCCAGGGUAUGAAAAGGACCAAUUGAGGAAUACCCCAAAUGCCAUUAAGGCUGACUCUGAUGUUUCUAGUCUGGAUAAAUAGAGACAAUAAUGUGCUAUUCACUAGGAUUGGGACAAAUGAUGAAUUUUUGUUUGAGGGAUUAUGAGUUGGGGAAAUUUCAGUAGUAUAUUGGAGCCAGCAUGAAUGUCUCCCCCAACUCUGCCUUCAGUGAUGUUAAGUUAGCAGCUUGAAACAGGCCAUGAUGAGAGUAUUUACACUAUAUAAAUUGGCAAAUGCUACAGAACAUCACUGGUUGGAGUGAUGGUGGAACACCUCUAUGACGUUUGUCAAUUGGAUCAGGGACUUAGGAAACAAGACAGGGAUAAAGAUAGGACCUUUAUCCUAUCUCUAAAGAAAUGACUAAAGAUGUAAAGAAUUUUAGAUUGAGAAAGAUUGACUUUGAGAUCGGGAGAGAUUGCAUUAUGAGAAAUGGAAUAGAAACCAGAGAGAUUUCUUAAGAGAUAUUUACUUUAAAAAGGUCAAUAAAGAAGGAUUCUAUAAAAGAGACAGAAGAAUUAUGGAAGUAGGAGACACAUUGGCAUAGGUUAACUUAUCAAGGAUAAAAGACAAAAGUGUUAGUGGUGCAGAACUAAUAGCCAUCAUCAUCAUGACAGCGCACAUUUACUUCACAAUUAUUACCUGCCAAGGAAUAUACCAUAUAUUUUAUAAAUUAUCUAAUUUAAAUUUCAAAUAUCAUAAGAAGUAAAUACUAUUAUGCUUAUUCGACAUAGAAGGAAACUAAAGCUUAAAUUGUUUAAGUAGCCUGUGCAAAAAGAAAUAACUGAUAACUGGCAUAGCUGAGAUGCAGACUAAGCUUUGUAUCAGCCCAAACUUUAUGAUCUUAGAAACCAACUCAAAAUAAUUUCAGAGAUCAUUCAUUGUAACAGACCAAUGAAACCUCACAUAGUUUUACUGUACUAGUCCAUUCUCAUGAUGCUGAUAAAGACAUACCUGAGACUGGGUAAUUUAUAAAGGAAAGAGGUUUGAUAAACUCACAGUUUCACAUGGCUGGGGAGGCCUCACAAUCAUGGUGGAAGGCAAAGGAAGAGCAAAGGCACAUUUACAUGGUGGCAGGAGAGAGAUUGUGUGCAGGGGAACUGCCCUUUUAUAAAACCAUCAGAUCUCUUGAGACAAGAACAGCAUGGGAAAGACCCAACCCCCUUGAUUCAAUUACCUCCCACUGAGUCCCUCCCAUGACACAUGGGGAUUAUUAUAAUUCAAGGUGAGAUUUGGGUGGAGACACAGAGCCAAACUAUAUCAUUCUGCCCCUGGCCCCUCCCAAAUCUCAUGUCCCUUUCACAUUUCAAAACACAAUCUUUCCUUCCCAACAGUCCCCCAAAGUCUUAACUCCUUUCAGCAUUAACUCAAAAGUCCACAGUCCAAAGUCUUAUCUGAGAUAAGGCAAGUCCCUUCUGCCUAUGAGCCUGUAAACAAGUUAGUUACUUUCUAGAUACAAUGGGGGUACAGGCAUUGGGUAAAUAUUCCUAUUCCAAAUGGGAGAAAUGGCCAAAACAAAGGGGCUCUAGGCCCCAUGUAAGUCCACAAUCCAAUACAGUAGUUGUUAAACCUUAAAGUUCCAAAGUGAUCUCCUUUGACUCCAUGUCUCACAUCCAGGUCACGCUGAUGCAAGAGGUGGGUUCCCAUGGUCUUGGGCAGCUCCACCCCUCUGGCUUUGCAGGGUACACCUCCCUUCCUGGGUGCUUUCAUGGGCUGGUGCUGAGUGUCUGUGGC